rnacentral:rRNA from 1 species
AUACGUGGGUGGCGAGCGUUGUCCGGAAUUACUGGGUGUAAAGGGAGCGCAGGCGGGAAUGCAAGUUGGAUGUGAAAUACCGAGGCUUAACCUCGGGGCUGCAUCCAAAACUGUAUUUCUUGAGUGAAGUAGAGGUAGGCGGAAUUCCGAGUGUAGCGGUGGAAUGCGUAGAUAUUCGGAGGAACACCAGUGGCGAAGGCGGCCUACUGGGCUUUAACUGACGCUGAGGCUCGAAAGUGUGGGGAGCAAACAGGAUUAGAUACCCUGGUAGUCCACACUGUAAACGAUGAUUACUAGGUGUGGGGGGUCUGACCCCUUCUGUGCCGUAGUUAACGCAAUAAGUAAUCCACCUGGGGAGUACGAUCGCAAGGUUGAAACUCAAAGGAAUUGACGGGG